rnacentral:rRNA from 1 species
GUGGAUUAGAUACCCUGGUAGUCCACGCCGUAAACGAUGAUUACUAGUUGUAUGCGAUAUGAUAGUAUGUGACUAAGCGAAAGCGAUAAGUAAUCCACCUGGGGAGUACGCCGGCAACGGUGAAACUCAAAGGAAUUGACGGGGGCCCGCACAAGCGGAGGAACAUGUGGUUUAAUUCGAUGAUACGCGAGGAACCUUACCCGGGCUUGAAAUGUACCUGACCGACUAUGAAAGUAGUCUUCUAGCAAUAGCAGGUAUGUAGGUGCUGCACGGUUGUCGCCAGCU